rnacentral:tRNA from 1 species
CCUUCGAUAGCUCAGUUGGUAGAGCGGUGGACUGUAGUAAAAAUGUUUCAAUGGGAUUAGAAAUCCAUAGGUCGCUGGUUCAAAUCCGGCUCGAAGGA